rnacentral:rRNA from 1 species
UACGGAGGGGGCUAGCGUUGUUCGGAAUUACUGGGCGUAAAGCGCGCGUAGGCGGACCUGCAAGUCGGGGGUGAAAGCCCGAGGCUCAACCUCGGAACUGCCUUCGAUACUGCGGGUCUCGAGUCCGGGAGAGGUGAGUGGAAUUCCUAGUGUAGAGGUGAAAUUCGUAGAUAUUAGGAAGAACACCAGUGGCGAAGGCGGCUCUCUGGACCAGCACUGACACUGAGGCACGGAAAAGCGUGGGGAGCAAACAGG